rnacentral:rRNA from 1 species
GCUGUGGAUUGUCCUUUGGACAAUGGUAGGAGAGCGUUCUAAGGGCGUUGAAGCAUGAUCGUAAGGACAUGUGGAGCGCUUAGAAGUGAGAAUGCCGGUGUGAGUAGCGAAAGACGGGUGAGAAUCCCGUCCACCGAUUGACUAAGGUUUCCAGAGGAAGGCUCGUCCGCUCUGGGUUAGUCGGGUCCUAAGCUGAGGCCGACAGGCGUAGGCGAUGGAUAACAGGUUGAUAUUCCUGUACCACCUAUAAUCGUUUUAAUCGAUGGGGGGACGCAGUAGGAUAGGCGAAGCGUGCGAUUGGAUUGCACGUCUAAGCAGUAAGGCUGAGUAUUAGGCAAAUCCGGUACUCGUUAAGGC